rnacentral:rRNA from 1 species
UACAGAGGGUGCGAGCGUUGUUCGGAAUUAUUGGGCGUAAAGGGCGCGUAGGCGGUGCGGUAAGUCACUUGUGAAAUCUCCUGGCUCAACUGGGAGCUUGCAGGCGAAACUGCCGUGCUGGAGUGUGGGAGAGGUGCGUGGAAUUCCUGGUGUAGCGGUGAAAUGCGUAGAUAUCAGGAGGAACACCUGUGGCGAAAGCGGCGCACUGGACCACAACUGACGCUGAGGCGCGAAAGCUAGGGGAGCAAACAGG